rnacentral:hammerhead_ribozyme from 1 species
UCCCAACUGACGAGUGCCAGAUAGGAUGAAACGCGCGUCCUGAAU